rnacentral:rRNA from 1 species
UACGUAGGGUGCGAGCGUUGCCCGGAUUUAUUGGGCGUAAAGGGCGCGUAGGCGGCUCGGCACGUCCGUUGUGAAAUCGCCCGGCUCAACUGGGCGGGGUCAGCGGAUACGGUCGAGCUCGAGCAAGCUAGGGGGCAAUGGAAUUCCCGGUGUAGUGGUGGAAUGCGCAGAUAUCGGGAGGAACACCAAUGGCGAAGGCAGCUCGCUGGGACGUUACUGACGCUGAGACGCGAAAGCGUGGGGAGCAAACAGG